rnacentral:pre_miRNA from 1 species
AUUCUACUCCCUCCGUUGCACAAUACAUGCCUUCUAUUUGUCAAAAUAUAUAUGUAUCUAGACAUGUUUUAGUAUAUAGGCACAUCCAUUUUUGGACAAAUGAAAGUCAAGUAUUUUGGAACGGAGGGAGUACACA